AAACAAAAAGAAUCCUCUUUGUAGGAACCUAGCUAGACAUGAACAUCUCCUUGACAAGAAGAGUGCAGAAGCUCACCCAAUAGAAGAACUGGAGCAUGGACCUGCCGUAAUCACCGGCAUCCUUGGGUUCGCCACUAGGAAGCUCGUUUUCGUCGUCGGGGUCUCCUAUUCUCCCUCGAAAUCGGACGGUGGCUGAGCACCAUGGAAGGGUCCUUUUCAAAUUGCCACAGAAAAGCAGUAAAAAAUGGAGUCAGCUCAUAAAUACAUUUAUGGGCAGAAACAUAUAUACAUAGAUGGAACACAAGGAAUGCAUAUAUCAAGUACAUGGAAACCCAUAUCACUGCCAAACAUGAAGAAACAUUAAUAAACAUGGAGAGAAGUGAUGUACAAAGCUUCAACUUUGCCCCAUGGAGUAUCCAGCUACACAGGAACGGUAUUGGAAUUCAGAAAUUGUAUGAGAUGUACCAUACCACCAGUGAAAUGCUAGGUCACUUACACUGCUUGGAUUUGGAUGUGCACAACAUCAUUCUGUAGACUUUUUCCGCACAAUAUACUUAUCAGCUAAGAAUCUUAGAAAAGGGAGAUCCAAUCCCAUAACCUCGCAAAUCAUCAAACAAAAUCAGGAAGGGAAAUAUAGGAGAAAUCAAAGGAUAAUACAUUAGCUCCAGAGACAUUGACCAAACCUAGGAAAUGUGUGACUGGCGAGGACGAAAAUACCUACAGACAUCAGCAACGCCAACCCUGGCUACUGCCGUCGGCACUGCAACGUCUCUUGCCAACCAAACCAACAUGUGAAACAAGAAUGAAAUUAGAUCGAAAGGGGAGGGAUGCGCGCCGCGGCAGGGGUGCGAGCAAGGAGGAAGGAGAGG
rnacentral:lncRNA from 1 species